rnacentral:misc_RNA from 1 species
GUGGCUCGCAAGCCGGCAGCGGUACGCACGUGGGAUGCUGCCCGCUCCUGCUUCACCAGGCUAAACGUCUAAAAUUCGAUGCAGUGCCAGAAUGGUCCUUACAGACAAGAAGAUGCAGCAGAGGAAAUAAGGAAGCGAUACAAAGAUACCUCUCUUGUUAUUUUCAUGGAGCAGCAGAAACUUUCCCAGCAGGAGAACAACUUUUUGUCUUUUGGUACAAGCCGACGGACAGCGGAACACAGUAAUUAUGGAAACCAUGCUGUUAUUGUCAAACAGCCUUUCAGUGCUGAUCAUAAAACACAGAUGUGUGCACUUCUAUGAAAUAAAAAUAGUACCAAAAAAACCAUCAGUGAAGAGAAAAGUCUACAAUAAACACCUUACAAUAACAAAACAUGGAGUAUAACAUGAAAAUUAAGCUACAGUAUUGCAAAAUGGACUUACAUUUCAACAAACAAACAUUUUUGUGAACACAUGGUCAUUAUUUGGUACAGAAUUAACCAAAUAAGGUGGUGCCAUCAUAAAGUAGGAGUGCAAUUACAAAUCUCCAUGUAGCCCUCUGGAUUUAGUAUUUCUGUGGUUUCUGUAAUGCGAUCCAAGCAAAUUUCAGUAUGAUUCCCUCUACAAGACCAUUACCUACUCGUUUCCUCCUGCAUCCUUGUCCUUAAUUUCAGUGGGGCACUGAACUAGAACUUUUUGUUGCAUGUAAAGUUAUACAUCACAUUAAAGAAAUGUGCUGCAA